rnacentral:lncRNA from 1 species
AUGCUUAAGUUUCAUUGUGACUACUGUGAUACGUAUCUUACCCAUGAUCCUCCGUCUGUGAGUAAGAUACACUGCAGUGGUCGGAAACAUAAAGAGAAUGUGAAAGACUAUUCCCGGAAAUGGAUGAUAACCAGGCCCAGACAAAACAGAUCGACAAAACAACGGCUGCAUUUCAACAAGGAAAGAUCCCUACGGCUCGGUUCUCUGCUCCUCUGCCUGCAGGGGCCAUGAUCCCACCUACCCCCAGUCUCCCGAGUCCUCCUCAGCCUGGCAUGAUGCCUGCAUCCCUCAUGGAAGGCCCUCCCGUGAUGCCAAUGCUGGGCCCCCCUCCUCCUGGGAUGAUGCCUGUGGGACCAGCUCCUGGG